AUACGGAGGCACCGAGCGUUAUCCGGAUUUAUUGGGCUUAAAGGGCGCGCAGGCGGCCAUUUAAGUCAGCGGUUAAAUCGUGGGGCUCAACCCCAUUCUGCCGUUGAUACUGGUCGGCUUGAUUGCGGUCGAGGUUGGCGGAAUUCGUUGUGUCGCGGUGAAAUGCAUAGAUAUGACGAAGAACACCGAUUGCGUAGGCAGCUGACCAGACCGCAAAUGACGCUCAUGCACGAAAGUGCGGGGAUCGAACAGGAUUAGAUACCCUGGUAGUCCGCACAGUAAACGAUGAAUACUUGUUUUCGGCGAUAUAAUGUCGGAGGCAAAGCGAAAGCGAUAAGUAUUCCACCUGGGGAGUACGCCGGCAACGGUGAAACUCAAAUGAAUUGGCGGGG
rnacentral:rRNA from 1 species